AUAGCCCACGAAAAGCGCUGCAUAUAAAUAUCAUUGCUAAGUUCUCAAUCUCAAUCACACUCCACUUGUGACCGCAACUGCUCAUCCAAGUGGUAUCUAUGUCCGGAGUUAUGUUCGGUGUGUUUGGUUUUAAUCUAUGAUUUGUGAUUUAGUUCUGUUUUUUGAUUAGGGUGUUUGUUUUAUGCUUGUUUUUUUUAUUUAUUUAAGAAUUUUGUUUUGUUCUUGUUAUAUUUUGGUGAUAAGAAGUGCGAAAUUACCCUAUGAGGAGGAUCUCCCAAAAAUUGAUAGGAAGUGCCGUAUGACACUAUACAGCAGCUCUGUUUCAAAAAAUGCUCUCAUCCACCGAUACCAGAUCGCUGUCAUCGGUCGAGUUCAUUAUUUGCUUGUGAAGCUGUGUGUGAGAUUUGAAACGGGUGGCUGAGGGUUUUGUUUCUUCUAAAUCUUCAAAUCAAAUUCUCUCGUUUUUUUUUUAGUUUUAACUUUUUUUUUAAUUCGGUCCGAUGCCACGUCUCUGGUAGCUAAUAUAAGCUCUGACCAAAGAUGCUAUGAUUGGACCAAUAUCAAUUUGUUUUGCAUUCUGAUAGGAAUCUGCUAAUCAUAUAUACUAUGAUUUUGCGGAGCCGUUUUGUGCAAUUACAUUUCUGUAUAAUUAUAAUUUCUGUAUUUUAUUUUUUAUGUUUGGUGUUUUGGUAUUAACGAAGCCGGUGAUGACACAUUUGAUUGGAAUUACCGUCUGAAUAAUUAUAUUCUUUGAUGUAAAUUUCUUGGCUGUGGUACUGAGGCCUCAAAUUACGUUUUUUCUACUCACUUUUUUUAUAAUGCACUUGCAGAUUAGCUUGUAUUAAUUCAACAUUUUUAUUAUUGUUUUAAUGUAAUGAUGUAAUAAUUAUCAUUUUCAAUAUGUAGUAUAGGAUUGAUAAAACUUAGUUGUUUGAAGUUUGUACUUUGUUUUGGAAUUGGAAGGGAGGACUUUGAAACUGAAAGCAGUCAUAUGUAUUCUCUUUUCAUAUCCUCAACGAAUGUUCUUUAAACUAUAGUGAAAGGUUUCCCUUUGUAACAUCAAUUAUGAUUAUAGUGUAAUCUUUAUGUAUUGAUUUGAAAGAUUAAAAGCAUACUGUUGUAAGCAGUGCUUACAGAUUAUAAGCAGUAUUAUUUUUGUUAAAGUUUAACAAAUAACAGAUAUAGAAUGAAAAAGCUAGUACGCAGUUAAUCCAUUAAAGUACCUCUCUAAAGUUACCUACAUUGCACCAGUAUCUAAUAUUUUAUGUCGAAGGCUAGAAUGCAACCAAUCAUGAGAAUUGAAUGUUGUGACGGAGGAUUAGAAAGCACAAAUGAAAUUGAUAAUGGAAUCUUUUUUCAGUUCCUAGUGUCAUAUACAUAUACAACAGUAAGACAGACAUAAACUAUUUUAGUUACAGGAUGCAUUUGUCAAGUUCAUUCUUUUUGGCGCCAUGUGUGAAACUGAAAAUAGGUCUCUUAUGCUUUUCUCAUUUGUUAAUUUUUAAGCUUUUAACCUUAGUUUGAAUUUUAUUUAUAUUUUUGUAGUUGGGUCUGAUGCCACGUCUCUUGUAGCUAUAAAUAUGAGCUCUGACCAGAGAUGCUAUGAUUGGACCUAAAUUAAGAGUGAAUUUCAUUUGUUUUGCAUUCUGAUAGGAAUCUGCUGAUCCUUUAUACUAUGAUUCUGCAGAGCCGAUUUGUGCGAUUACAUUUCAAUAUAUCUUAACUCCUUAUCUUCUAUAAGGCCAAUGAGGACUAAAUUGAUUUGGAAUUACUUUCUGAAUGAUCUUACACUUUGAUGUAAACUUCUGGUCGUUUUGGAGUCUUUGGAUUAGUAUUUUUUGUUUUUUUCCACCAGUUUAAAAAAAAUUCCCUCUAUAGUAUUCCACGUUGUUGUUGUAAUUGUAUUUAUGUAGUAUUUGUUAUUUCCAACUGAUUUACGUUUCUCUUUACUGGUGGUCUCAAAGAUUAAAAGUAAUUUCUUUUGUGGAUUGUUGUUUAAAAUUGGAAUUAAAUUGUCAUUUCCAGCAAAUGAGCACAAAAACAAUGUUUCAAUCUGAAACUGGAACGUGUUGUCUCACCCAAGCAAAGACCUGUUAGGAGAUUUGAUCUCAAUUUGAAAUAUCUCGCAAAUAGACUUGGAUGAUCACAUUUGUAGAUGCCGAAGGCUAGAAUGCCCCUGAUCAUGAUAAUGGAAGGCUCUGAAUAAAGUUCUCCUAAUGAAUCUGUAAAAAAGGUGUAUUCCAAGAUGUAAGAUCUCACUUAUAAUGCUGCCAAAGCUAUUUGGAGUGUCUCUUUUUCAGCCAUUUAGAGUGACAUCGGUUUGGAUUCUUUUUGUUGGAAUGAGUUUGACAUAGCUAUGUGGGAGAUUUCAUUAUAGAAAUUAAGAGUUAUCUAUGAGGUGAUUGCUGGGAUUUUUGAGUUUCUCAGCUCUGUAAUUUGGUUCCAUUGGUUUAAAGAUGCAGACACAGUCCAAAAUCUUAGUCAAUUUUGCCCUGUGGUAUUAGGACUUGUAUAGCACAGUUGUUCCAGACUCAUUUGCAAUAAGUUUUAGGAGCUAAGAUUCAUCAUUGUGUGGUUGUGGUGUCAUUUUUUUUAACAUCUCAACCAUUGUUACAAAGAAAUCGUAAUUUUGAAGGAAAAAAAAUAGUUGGAUUGCUAGCUCAUAAUAGGUUAAUACACCUACAAAUGUCCUCCCCAAAAUCCCAAUCCUCGUUGAUUUACAACCCACUCGUGACUGCAGCUGUAUUGCGGAGUUGUUAUCUUUCAUAUCAUAUUUUUUCUGUUUUAUCUGAGGGUUUUAUCUUUCAUAUCAUAUUUUUCUGUUUUUCAAUUUCAUUUUUUUUAUUCAGUCCGAUGCCACAUCUCUAGUAGCUAUAUGCUCUGACCAAAUAUGCUAUGGUUGAACUAAAAUCAAGAGUGCUUGUCAUUUGUUUCACAUUCUGAUUGGAACCUGUGGAUCCAAUAUACGAUGAUUUUGCAGUGCCGAUUUGUGCGAUUACAUUUGUGUAACAAGAUUUCUUAUCUAUUUAUUUUGUAUCGUGCUUUGGUAUUAAUGAAGCUAAUGAUGACACAACUGAUUGGAAUUACCAUCUGAAUAAUUAUAUAUUCUUUGAUGUAAAGUUCUUGGCUGUGGUACUGAGGCUUCAAAUUAACUCUUUUUCAUUCACUUUUUAAAAACAAAUUUGCAGAUCAACACGUUUAAAUUCAUCAUUUUAUUAUUAUUGUAACAGUAAUAAUAAUUGGCAUUUUUUAUAUUUAGUAUAGGGUUGAUAAAACUUCUCUGUUUGUAGUUUUGACUUUGUAGGGGAAGGAGGUAUUAUGGCUUUGAGGCUGAUAGUAGUCAGGUAUUCUCUUUUGAUUUCGUCAAAGAAUGCUCUUUCAAUUAUGAUUUUCCUUUGUAACAUCACUUAUGAUAAUAGUGCUAUCUUUAUUUAUUGAUUUGAAAGAUCAUAGCAUGUAUAGUGAUCUUCUUUUUGCUGAAGUUACAAUAAGUAACAGAUAUGGAAUCAAAGAGCUUGUAGGCAUGUAAUUGUUGAUGUGAAAGGUUAGAAAGCACACAUGAAACUGACAAUGGAAAGUUCUUUCGGUUCCUAGUGUCACAUACUUAAAAUGCAUUUGUCAAGUUCAUUCUUUCUGGGGAUGAGUGUGUGAGAUUGGAAUCGGUCUCUUUUUCUCAUUUCUUAAUCUUAAAGCUUUUCCUUUUUUAUUAUUUUGGAUGAUUAUUCCAGAUGGACAUGGGUAAAGUACCUUAAACACAAGGCUGAUUCACAUAAGGUUUUCACUACAUUAUGCAAACAAGUGAAAAUGAAAAUGGUUUUUGUAUUGCAACAAUUCGUAGUGAUCAUAAGGAUGAAUUUGAAAAUAAGCUCUUUGAAAACUUAUGUCAAGAGAAUGAAAAUUUACACAACUUUUUCUCUCAUACAACACCUCAACAAAACGGCGUUGUAGAAAGAAAAUUUGAUCUCUUUGGAAAAUGGCAAGUACCAUGAUUCACAAUAUGAAUGUUGCCAAGAACUUUUGAGCAUAAGUAGUGAACGUUGCAUGUAAUAUCCAUAAUAUAAUCUAUACUAGAUCUAUUAUUAAAAAGAUUCCUUAUGAACUAUGAAAAUGAAUAAAGUCCAACAUUUUGUACUUU